rnacentral:rRNA from 1 species
CUGGCUCAGGACGAACGCUGGCGGCGUGCUUAACACAUGCAAGUCGAACGGUGACAUCAGAGCUUGCUCUGGUUGAUCAGUGGCGAACGGGUGAGUAACACGUGAGUAACCUGCCCUUGACUCUGGGAUAACUCCGGGAAACCGGGGCUAAUACCGGAUACGAGACGCGACCGCAUGGUCGGCGUCUGGAAAGUUUUUCGGUCAAGGAUGGACUCGCGGCCUAUCAGCUUGUUGGUGAGGUAAUGGCUCACCAAGGCGUCGACGGGUAGCCGGCCUGAGAGGGCGACCGGCCACACUGGGACUGAGACACGGCCCAGACUCCUACGGGAGGCAGCAGUGGGGAAUAUUGCACAAUGGGCGAAAGCCUGAUGCAGCGACGCCGCGUGAGGGAUGAAGGCCUUCGGGUUG